rnacentral:rRNA from 1 species
UACAGAGGGUGCAAACGUUGUUCGGAAUUACUGGGCGUAAAGCGCGUGUAGGCGGCCUAGUGUGUCGGGCGUGAAAUCCCACGGCUCAACCGUGGAAGUGCACUCGAAACUGCAAGGCUGGAGUACUGGAGAGGAUGGUAGAAUGCUCGGUGUAGAGGUGAAAUUCGUAGAUAUCGAGCGGAAUACCGGUGGCGAAGGCGGCCACCUAGGACCGUCCCUGACGCUCAAACACGAA